CCCUUAGAUGUUCUGGGCUGCACACGUGCUACACUGGCAGGUUCAGCGAGCUUCAUGCCCUGAUCUGAAAGGAAUGGGAAAUCUUUUCAAAACCUGCCGUGCUUGGGAUAGAUGUUUGCAACUAUUCAUCUUCAACGAGGAUUGCCUUGUAAGCGCACGUCAUCAGCGUGCAUUGAAUACGACCCUGUAUUCUGUACACACCGCCCGUCGCUCCUACCGAUUGAAGUUUUCGGUGAGUUGACAGGAGGAUUUUUUUGAAACUGGUUCGCCAGUGGAUUUUAGAUCCAAAUGCCAACGAAUCGAUGGCUUUAGAGGAAGGAGAAGUCGUAACA
rnacentral:rRNA from 1 species